rnacentral:rRNA from 1 species
CAAGUAAUUAAGUGCAUGUGGUGGAUGCCUUGGCAGUCAGAGGCGAUGAAAGACGUGAUAGCCUGCGAAAAGCUCCGGGGAGGCGGCAAAUAUCCUUUGAUCCGGAGAUGUCUGAAUGGGGGAACCCACCUACUUUAAGGUAGGUAUUGCAACAUGAAUACAUAGUGUUGCAAGGCGAACGAGGGGAAGUGAAACAUCUCAGUACCCUUAGGAAAAGAAAUCAAUUGAGAUUCCCUCAGUAGCGGCGAGCGAACGGGGAUCAGCCCAUUAAGUUAUGUGUGUUUUAGUGGAACGCUCUGGGAAGUGCGAACGUAGAGGGUGAUAUUCCCGUACACGAAAGGGCACACAUAAUGAUGACGAGUAGGGCGAGGCACGUGAAACCUUGUCUGAAUAUGGGGGGACCAUCCUCCAAGGCUAAAUACUCCUGACUGACCGAUAGUGAACCAGUACCGUGAGGGAAAGGCGAAAAGAACCCCUGUGAGGGGAGUGAAAUAGAUCCUGAAACCGCAUGCAUACAAGCAGUGGGAGCACCUUCGUGGUGUGACUGCGUACCUUUUGUAUAAUGGGUCAGCGACUUAUAUUCAGUAGCGAGGUUAACCGUAUAGGGGAGCCGUAGAGAAAUCGAGUCUUAAUAGGGCGUUUAGUUGCUGGGUAUAGACCCGAAACCAGGCGAUCUAUCCAUGAGCAGGUUGAAGGUUGGGUAACACUAACUGGAGGACCGAACCCACUGUCGUUGAAAAGCCAGGGGAUGACUUGUGGAUAGGGGUGAAAGGCUAAUCAAGCCUGGUGAUAGCUGGUUCUCCCCGAAAGCUAUUUAGGUAGCGCCUCGGACGAAUACCAUAGGGGGUAGAGCACUGUUUCGGCUAGGGGGUCAUCCCGACUUACCAAACCGAUGCAAACUCCGAAUACCUAUGAGUACUAUCCGGGAGACAGACUGCGGGUGCUAACGUCCGUAGUCAAGAGGAAAACAAUCCAGACCGCCAGCUAAGGCCCCAAAAUCAUAGUUAAGUGGGAAACGAUGUGGGAAGGCAUAGACAGCUAGGAGGUUGGCUUAGAAGCAGCCACCCUUUAAAGAAAGCGUAAUAGCUCACUAGUCGAGUCGGCCUGCGCGGAAGAUGUAACGGGGCUAAAACUAUGUGCCGAAGCUGCGGAUGUAUACUUUGUAUACGUGGUAGGGGAGCGUUCUGUAAGCCGAUGAAGGUGUGUUGAGAAGCAUGCUGGAGGUAUCAGAAGUGCGAAUGCUGACGUGAGUAACGACAAAACGGGUGAAAAACCCGUUCGCCGAAAGACCAAGGGUUCCAGUCCAACGUUAAUCGGGGCUGGGUGAGUCGACCCCUAAGGCGAGGCCGAAAGGCGUAGUCGAUGGGAAAAUGGUUAAUAUUCCAUUACUUCUGUGUAAUGCGAUGAGAGGACGGAGAAGGCUAAAUCAGCCUGGCGUUGGUUGUCCAGGUGAAAGGAUGUAGGCAUGUAUCUUAGGCAAAUCCGGGGUACUCUAUGCUGAGAUCUGAUAGCAAGCUGUACUUGUACAGCGAAGUGGUUGAUGCCAUGCUUCCAGGAAAAGUCUCUAAGCUUCAGUUACACAGGAAUCGUACCCGAAACCGACACAGGUGGUCAGGUCGAGUAGACCAAGGCGCUUGAGAGAACUCUGCUGAAGGAACUAGGCAAAAUGGUACCGUAACUUCGGGAGAAGGUACGCUGUUGUUGGUGAUGGAACUCGCUUCCUGAGCUGACGACAGCCGCAGAAACCAGGCCGCUGCAACUGUUUAUUAAAAACAUAGCACUCUGCAAACACGAAAGUGGACGUAUAGGGUGUGAUGCCUGCCCGGUGCUGGAAGGUUAAUUGAUGGGGUUAGCGUAAGCGAAGCUCUUGAUCGAAGCCCCAGUAAACGGCGGCCGUAACUAUAACGGUCCUAAGGUAGCGAAAUUCCUUGUCGGGUAAGUUCCGACCUGCACGAAUGGCAUAAUGAUGGCGGCGCUGUCUCCAGCAGAGGCUCAGUGAAAUCGAAAUCGCUGUGAAGAUGCAGUGUACCCGCGGCUAGACGGAAAGACCCCGUGAACCUUUACUGCAGCUUGACACUGAACUUUGACCUUACUUGUGUAGGAUAGGUGGGAGGCUUUGAAGCUGGAACGCUAGUUCCAGUGGAGCCGUCCUUGAAAUACCACCCUGGUAAUGUUGAGGUUCUAACUCUGUCCCGUGAUCCGGGACGAGGACCGUGUCUGGUGGGUAGUUUGACUGGGGCGGUCUCCUCCUAAAGAGUAACGGAGGAGUACGAAGGUGCGCUCAGCGUGGUCGGAAAUCACGCGUAGAGUAUAAAGGCAAAAGCGCGCUUAACUGCGAGACCCACAAGUCGAGCAGGUACGAAAGUAGGUCUUAGUGAUCCGGUGGUUCUGUAUGGAAGGGCCAUCGCUCAACGGAUAAAAGGUACUCUGGGGAUAACAGGCUGAUACCGCCCAAGAGUUCAUAUCGACGGCGGUGUUUGGCACCUCGAUGUCGGCUCAUCUCAUCCUGGGGCUGAAGCAGGUCCCAAGGGUAUGGCUGUUCGCCAUUUAAAGAGGUACGCGAGCUGGGUUUAGAACGUCGUGAGACAGUUUGGUCCCUAUCUACCGUGGGCGCUGGAAAUUUGAGAGGAUCUGCUCCUAGUACGAGAGGACCAGAGUGGACGAACCUCUGGUGUACCGGUUGUGACGCCAGUCGCAUCGCCGGGUAGCUAUGUUCGGAAGGGAUAACCGCUGAAAGCAUCUAAGCGGGAAGCCUACCUCAAGAUAAGAUUUCCCUAGGACUUUAUGUCCUCUAAAGAGCCGUUCGAGACUAGGACGUUGAUAGGUUGGAUGUGGAAGCAUAGUGAUAUGUGAAGCUGACCAAUACUAAUUGCUCGUGAGGCUUGACUA